rnacentral:rRNA from 1 species
AUGGACUGUAAUCUCCUGGAUUUGGGAUUUUCUGGCCCAAAAUUCACCUGGUGCAAUCGACAUGACCCAAACAGCCAUGUGCAUUGCCGGCUUGACCGAGACAUGGCCAAUAAUGAGUUCUUCAACCUGUUCGCUGCAUGUGAUGUUGAGAAUGUCAUCGCCACUUCUUCUGACCACUACCCUGUUUAUGUCUGUCCGGACCGUGGCUCAAGGCAGCGUUGUGUGUCUCUGGUUCAACAAGGUUUCAAAUUUGAGGCUAUGUGGCUGCGGGCCACGGACUACAAGGAUACUUUGGAGCAUGCUUGGUCGGCGGGGAGAGAUGGGUUCUUGUCUCUUCAGUCAACCUGAGCCAAUUUGAAGAAUGUGGCUUCCUCAUUGAGGACUUGGAGCAAAGAGACAUUUGGGUCUGUGUGUAAGAAGACCGGGCAGUUGGAGCGCCGUUUGGCCACCAUCAGGGCCUCCCCGCCCACCCCGCCUGCCCUGGCGGAGGAACGACAGAUUGAGAGCUCGUUGUGUGAGUUGUUCGAGCGGGAGGAAAUCAUGGAGAGGCAGCGCUCUCGGGUGGAUUGGCUCAAAGAGGGGGACCGGAACACCGGGUUUUUCCAAGCUCGGGCGGCUGUAAGAAGGAGAACCAACCGAAUCCACACACUCACUCGGGAUGAUGGGUCGGUUUGUUCUUCUCAAGGUGAGAUCAAAGGUAUGGUGUAGUCUUUCUAUGACAAAUUGUUCACCUCGGAUCCUUGCCCAGACGCCGAGGGGGUCUUGCAGGCAAUCCCUGUUGGGAAACGUAGUAAUUUCAAAAAAAUUCCUACGCACACGCAAGAUCAUGGUGAUGCAUAG